UACGUAGGGGGCGAGCGUUGUCCGGAAUCAUUGGGCGUAAAGCGCGUGUAGGCGGCUCGAUAAGUCCGGUGUGAAACCUUGGGGCUCAACCCCAAGCCUGCACUGGAUACUGCCGAGCUAGAGUCCGGGAGGGGAGAGCGGAAUUCCUAGUGUAGCGGUGAAAUGCGCAGAUAUCAGGAGGAACACCAAUGGCGAAGGCAGCUCGCUGGGACGUGACUGACGCUGAGACGCGAAAGCGUGGGGAGCAAACAGG
rnacentral:rRNA from 1 species